rnacentral:rRNA from 1 species
CGGCACGGGUGAGUAACACGUAUCCAACCUGCCGUCUACUCUUGGACAGCCUUCUGAAAGGAAGAUUAAUACAAGAUGGCAUCAUGAGUCCACAUGUUCACAUGAUUAAAGGUAUUCCGGUAGACGAUGGGGAUGCGUUCCAUUAGAUAGUAGGCGGGGUAACGGCCCACCUAGUCUUCGAUGGAUAGGGGUUCUGAGAGGAAGGUCCCCCACAUUGGAACUGAGACACGGUCCAA